rnacentral:lncRNA from 1 species
GUCUUUUCUCCGCUUCGGGUCUAAAGAAACAGCACCUGCCUGGGACCUAGGUUAGUUGUCUCUGCCCAGGCAGCGCCUUGACUGUUCAGUGGUUUCUGUCACGCGACUUAGGGGUCAGCUCUAGGCCCCCGGCCCUGGCUUUUGUCAUCUUCACAAAAAUAAGUUCCGUUUUCUUGGCCUUAGAAGAUCGCGCUUUGGUGAAACAAAACAUUAAAACAUCAACCUGGACAGGGUCGCUGCGGACAAAGUGUUCAGCUGAGCAGCACUGCUGAGCUCUUCGGUGGGAAGGCCAUGAGCGCGUCUGGUUGAUAGGACUUAUGGAACAUCUCAAGAAGAGGUCCCAUUUGGGCCAGACCUUACAGUGCUAAGGGGAUCUCAGCAAACAGAAAAUGGGAGGACAGAAUAUUCCAGACCCGGCAAAGGUGCAAGGUCUUGCUGUAGAAAUGUGUUUCAGGGCUGGAGAAAUGGCUCAGUGGUUGAGAGCACUGACUGCUCUUCCAGAGGUCCUGAGGUCAAUUCCCAGCAACCACAUGGUGGCUCACAACCAUCUGAAAUGGGAUCCAAUGCCCUCAUUUGGUAUGUCUAAAUACAGCUACAGUGUACUCAUAUAUAUAAAAUAAAUAAAAUCUUUAAAAAAAAAAAUAAGGAAGGAAGGAAGGAAGAAAUUUGUUGCAGCCACUACUUGUGACACAUUUAGUGCGUGUGAUAACUUUUUCUUGCUGGAAGAAGAAUAAAAGUAACAUCGAGAGGAAGUGGGGACAGAUUGGAACUCUUCAUGGUGUGUACCAAUAGAAAACCAAUAAGCCAAAAAUAAUCUGGAAUUGUUGGGCUCUGUGGACCACGGAUACACUUUACAAUUUUCUUUCAUUACCAUGAAAAUAAAUUAUAUAACUUAGAA